rnacentral:rRNA from 1 species
AAACUUAAAUGAAUUGACGGGGACCCGCACAAGCGGUGGAUGAUGUGGAUUAAUUCGAUGCAACGCGAAAAACCUUACCUACCCUUGACAUGUCCGGAAUCCCGAAGAGAUUUGGGAGUGCUCGAAAGAGAGCCGGAACACAGGUGCUGCAUGGCUGUCGUCAGCUCGUGUCGUGAGAUGUUGGGUUAAGUCCCGCAACGAGCGCAACCCUUAUCAUUAGUUGCCAUCAUUCAGUUGGGCACUCUAAUGAGACUGCCGGUGACAAACCGGAGGAAGGUGGGGAUGACGUCAAGUCCUCAUGGCCCUUAUGGGUAGGGCUUCACACGUCAUACAAUGGUCGGUACAGAGGGUUGCCAACCCGCGAGGGGGAGCUAAUCUCACAAAGCCGAUCGUAGUCCGGAUCGCAGUCUGCAACUCGACUGCGUGAAGUCGGAAUCGCUAGUAAUCGUGGAUCAGCAUGUCACGGUGAAUACGUUCCCGGGUCUUGUACACACCGCCCGUCACACCAUGGGAGUGGGUUUCACCAGAAGUAGGUAGUCUAACCGCAAGGAGGGCGCUUACCACGGUGGGGUUCAUGACUGGGGUGAAGUCGUAACAAGGUAGCCGUAGGGGAACCUGCGGCUGGAUCACCUCCUUUAUG